rnacentral:rRNA from 1 species
GAAACGACUGCUAAGACUGGAUAGGAGACAAGAGGGCAUCUUCUUGUUUUUAAAAGACCUAGCAAUAGGUAUGCUUAGGGAGGAGCUUGCGUCACAUUAGUUAGUUGGUGGGGUAAAGGCCUACCAAGACUAUGAUGUGUAGCCGGGCUGAGAGGUUGAACGGCCACAUUGGGACUGAGACACGGCCCAAACUCCUACGGGAGGCAGCAGUAGGGAAUUUUCGGCAAUGGAGGAAACUCUGACCGAGCAACGCCGCGUGAACGAUGAAGUAUUUCGGUACGUAAAGUUCUUUUAUUAGGGAAGAAUAAAUGAUGGAAAAAUCAUUCUGACGGUACCUAAUGAAUAAGCCCCGGCUAACUAUGUGCCAGCAGCCGCGGUAAUACAUAGGGGGCAAGCGUUAUCCGGAAUUAUUGGGCGUAAAGGGUGCGUAGGCGGUUAAAUAAGUUUAUGGUCUAAGUGCAAUGCUCAACAUUGUGAUGCUAUAAAAACUGUUUAGCUAGAGUAAGAUAGAGGCAAGUGGAAUUCCAUGUGUAGUGGUAAAAUGCGUAAAUAUAUGGAGGAACACCAGUAGCGAAGGCGGCUUGCUGGGUCUUUACUGACGCUGAGGCACGAAAGCGUGGGGAGCAAACAGGAUUAGAUACCCUGGUAGUCCACGCCGUAAACGAUGAGUACUAAACGUUGGGUAAAACCAGUGUUGAAGUUAACACAUUAAGUACUCCGCCUGAGUAGUACGUACGCAAGUAUGAAACUUAAAGGAAUUGACGGAACUCCGCACAAGCGGUGGAUCAUGUUGUUUAAUUCGAAGGU